rnacentral:rRNA from 1 species
GAUGAACGCUGGCGGCGUGCCUAAUACAUGCAAGUAGAACGCUGAAGGAGGAUCUUGCUCUUCUGGAUGAGUUGCGAACGGGUGAGUAACGCGUAGGUAACCUGCCUGGUAGCGGGGGAUAACUAUUGGAAACGAUAGCUAAUACCGCAUGACAACAGUUAUUGCAUGAUAACUGUUUAAAAGGGGCAACUGCUCCACUACCAGAUGGACCUGCGUUGUAUUAGCUAGUUGGUGAGGUAACGGCUCACCAAGGCGACGAUACAUAGCCGACCUGAGAGGGUGAUCGGCCACACUGGGACUGAGACACGGCCCAGACUCCUACGGGAGGCAGCAGGAGGGAAUCUUCGGCAAUGGACGGAAGUCUGACCGAGCAACGCCGCGUGAGUGAAGAAGGUUUUCGGAUCGUAAAGCUCUGUUGUAAGAGAAGAACGAGUGUGAGAGUGGAAAGUUCACACGGUGACGGUAUCUUACCAGAAAGGGACGGCUAACUACGUG